rnacentral:rRNA from 1 species
GUGGGGAAUUUUGGACAAUGGGCGAAAGCCUGAUCCAGCCAUGCCGCGUGCAGGAUGAAGGCCUUCGGGUUGUAAACUGCUUUUGUACGGAACGAAACGGUCCGGGUUAAUACCCUGGGCUAAUGACGGUACCGUAAGAAUAAGUACCGGCUAACUACGUGCCAGCAGCCGCGGUAAUACGUAGGGUGCAAGCAUUAAUCGGAAUUACUGGGCGUAAAGCGUGCGCAGGCGGUUUUGUAAGACAGGCGUGAAAUCCCCGGGCUCAACCUGGGAAUUGCGCUUGUGACUGCAAGGCUGGAGUGCGGCAGAGGGGGAUGGAAUUCCGCGUGUAGCAGUGAAAUGCGUAGAUAUGCGGAGGAACACCGAUGGCGAAGGCAAUCCCCUGGGCCUGCACUGACGCUCAUGCACGAAAGCGUGGGGAGCAAACAGGAUUAGAAACCCGUGUAGUCC